UACAGAGGCCCCAAGCAUUACCCGGAAUCACUGGGCGUAAAGGGUGCGUAGGUGGCGUCAUUAGUCCUCUUUCAAAUCCUCCGGGCUCAACCCGGAGGCCCCGAGAGGAAACGGUGGCGCUCGAGGGUGUACGAGGUACGUAGAACUCUAGGUGUAGGGGUGAAAUCCGUUGAUAUCUAGGGGAAUACCAAAUGCGAAGGCAGCGUACUGGGACAUUCCUGACACUGAGGCACGAAAGCGUGGGUAGCGAAAAGG
rnacentral:rRNA from 1 species